rnacentral:rRNA from 1 species
GGAGGAUCAUUAUCGUAGGGCUUCGGCCCUGUCGAGAUAGAACCCUUGCCUUUUUGAGUACCUUUCGUUUCCUCGGCAGGCUCGCCUGCCAAUGGGGACCACAAAAAACACUUUGCAGUACCUGUAACAGUCUGAACAAACAAACAAAAAUUAAAACUUUCAACAACGGAUCUCUUGGUUCUGGCAUCGAUGAAGAACGCAGCGAAAUGCGAUAAGUAGUGUGAAUUGCAGAAUUCAGUGAAUCAUCGAAUCUUUGAACGCACAUUGCGCCCUUUGGUAUUCCUUAGGGCAUGCCUGUUCGAGCGUCAUUUAAACCUUCAAGCUAAGCUUGGUGUUGGGUGACUGUCCGCUUCACGGCGGACUCGCCUCAAAAUUAUUGGCGGCCGGUACAUUGGCUUCGAGCGCAGCAGAAACGCGAACUCGGGCCCGUCGUAUUGGCUCCCAGAAGCUAUCUUCACAAUUUUGACCUCGGAUCAGGUAGGGAUACCCACUGAACUUAAGCAUAUCAAUAAGCGGAGGA